UACGCGGGAAAAGCAAAAAAAGAUUUUCUUGAUGAUUCCGUACACAAGUUUCUUCUACUGCCAGCGGUCAGGUCUUUGAAACGGCGGUUUAAAACGCGCAGAGUCGUCAAUCGCCGUAGCAAUUUUUAAAUGUUGCUUAUCUGGUAGAAAGCAAAUGUUGUGGCCCCAAGUGUCAUAAUGGAAAGUGCGAAAAAUUCAUAAUUUCAAGGGGGACAUAAAUCUCACAGAAAGCUUGCUUUACAUGAAUUGGACUCGGUUAUUGUACUUCACAAUUUUCGGAUUGUUCAAACAAAAAGUAACACCUUUAAUCUUGAUGAACAUCAAGAGAAACGAGCGAAAAUGUUGUAUGAAUGAGAUGAACGACCAGGUGGAAAAGGAGAAAUUGGCGGUCGCUUUUUGGGCUGAGUAAAUUAAAUCCCCCGCGAUCAAUUCGGUGGUCUUUUGCUGGCCGUCAAGGAAAUCAAUUUUUCCGUUAAUCCAAUUAAAUGCUCUGGGCGUGAACGGUGCUGUAAAAAGCAAGACCUUUAAAAUGAUAACCGGCGACGAAACUUCGAGCAGUGGAGUUAUGUAUUUAGGCGAAAAAGAGAU